rnacentral:rRNA from 1 species
UGGGGAAUUUUGGACAAUGGGCGAAAGCCUGAUCCAGCCAUGCCGCGUGCAGGAUGAAGGCCUUCGGGUUGUAAACUGCUUUUUGUACGGAACGAAAAGACUCUGGUUAAUACCUGGGGUCCAUGACGGUACCGUAAGAAUAAGCACCGGCUAACUACGUGCCAGCAGCCGCGGUAAUACGUAGGGUGCAAGCGUUAAUCGGAAUUACUGGGCGUAAAGCGUGCGCAGGCGGUUAUAUAAGACAGAUGUGAAAUCCCCGGGCUCAACCUGGGAACUGCAUUUUGUGACUGUAUAGCUAGAGUACGGCAGAGGGGGAUGUAAUUCCGCNUGUAGCAGUGAAAUGCGUAGAUAUGCGGAGGAACACCGAUGGCGAAGGCAAUCCCCUGGGCCUGUACUGACGCUCAUGCACGAAAGCGUGGGGGAGCAAACAGGAUUAGAUACCCUGGUAGUCCACGCCCUAAACGAUGUCAACUGGUUGUUGGGUCUUCACUGACUCAGUAACGAAGCUAACGCGUGAAGUUGACCGCCUGGGGAGUACGGCCGCAAGGUUG